UACGUAGGGGCAAGCGUUGUCCGGAUUUAUUGGGCGUAAAGAGCGUGUAGGCGGCUUUGCAAGUCCGUUGUGAAAACUCGAGGCUCAACCUCGAGACGCCGGUGGAAACUGCAAAGCUAGAGUCCGGAAGAGGAGAGUGGAAUUCCGUGGUGUAGCGGUGAAAUGCGCAGAUAUCAGGAAGAACACCCGUGGCGAAGGCGGCUCUCUGGGACGGUACUGACGCUGAGACGCGAAAGCGUGGGGAGCGAACAGG
rnacentral:rRNA from 1 species